AACGCGAAGAACCUUACCCAGGCUUGACAUGCAGUGGAAUAUAACAGAGAUGUUAUAGCCCUUCGGGGCCGCUGCACAGGUGCUGCAUGGCUGUCGUCAGCUCGUGCCGUGAGGUGUUGGGUUAAGUCCCGCAACGAGCGCAACCCUUAUCAUUAGUUGCCAACACGUAAAGGUGGGAACUCUAAUGAGACUGCCUGGGUUAACCAGGAGGAAGGUGAGGAUGACGUCAAGUCCGCAUGGCCCUUAUGUCUGGGGCAACACACGUGCUACAAUGGUCGGUACAGAAGGCAGCGAAACCGCAAGGUGAAGCAAAUCCCGAAAGCCGGCCUCAGUUCAGAUUGUAGUCUGCAACUCGACUACAUGAAGUUGGAAUUGCUAGUAAUGGCAGGUCAGCACACUGCCGUGAAUACGUUCCCGGGCCUUGUACACACCGAGACGAC
rnacentral:rRNA from 1 species